rnacentral:lncRNA from 1 species
AGGCUGGAGUGUAGUGGUACGAUCUUGGCUUACUGCAACCUCCACCUCCUGGGUUCAAGCGGCCCUGUCAUCUCAGCCUCCUGAGUAGCUGGGGUUACAGGAGCUCCUUUCUGACAACUUGCAAUUGAUCCAACAUUUGAAACCUUAUGCAGGAGCCGGACAGCUUGGUUUUGAAUUAUAAUCUUACAAAUUACUGGCUGUGUGUUAAAUCUUUAAAUUACUGGCUGUGUGACUUUGUGUAAGUACCUUCACUUCUCUGUGCCUUAGUUUAUGUUAUGUAAAAGGUAUG